AUGCACUGCCCCGUGUGCACCCAUAGUGUGCACCUGGAAGUCAGUAUGGCGUUGGUAGUAAACCCACUUAUAUUCACUAGAGUGAGGGACUUUGGCGCAACAAUAUGGAAAGUUCUACAAGUUCUGAAGACACAAGGCUGAAACCGAACCUAUACUGACAGUGGAAACUAUAAAAAUAAGUGGCUUUAGAUUUUUAGACCAUGCGUUUAUUGUGGAGCGCAGUGUGGAUAAGCUAAAUUCGGUCAGUGUGUAGCUUGUUUUUAGCCACCACAAGAGCCUGUCGACGACUAUAUUGGACACUAAAAGGAGGACUUUAUUUUCUCACAGUGAGGACAACAACAACUCGGUAGUCAAAGCAUGCACUUGGACCCACAACUUCGUAAUAGCAUUCGACCUACAUGCCAGGAUGAAGAGCGCUAUAAUCAGGAAGGAAGCCGGAGUGAAAUGAGCUGCUGCUGCCUUUUACUGAGCCGAGCUGUGUGCUGUGACUCAGCAUCUGAUAAUCAUGCCCCUGAGAGUACCCGGGUUUGACGGGGGGCUGACCUGCUGCAAAGAAGAGACCAGAUUUCCCAAAGUGAAGUGGUACACCAGAGGUUUGUUAGCAAUCUACAAAAGAUUAAAUAUCGUAGAGCACAGUCAUUUUGAGUAGGUCUUUUGUUGAGUGGGUUCAGACAAGGCAGUUCUAAGCUAAGGGACUGAGGGGACUAACUAAGGUUUUGAGUUUUUACAGAAUUAUCCCUGGACAUCUUGUUAAAAGUGGGAAAGUAAAGCGUCAAGGCAGCAGGGACAAACAACUCUGACUAUGCAAAACAUUUUAUUUAGAUUUUUCAGUGAGAAUUGCAUUAUUUGAGAGGGAUUAAAGGAAGAGCCAGUGCACUGAAUAAAAGUGUUUCACAUUUUUUAA